GACGAACGCUGGCGGCGUGCCUAAUACAUGCAAGUCGAACGCUUCUUUCCUCCCGAGUGCUUGCACUCAAUUGGAAAGAGGAGUGGCGGACGGGUGAGUAACACGUGGGUAACUUACCCAUCAGAGGGGGAUAACACUUGGAAACAGGUGCUAAUACCGCAUAACAGUUUAUGCCGCAUGGCAUAAGAGUGAAAGGCGCUUUCGGGUGUCGUUGAUGGAUGGACCCGCGGUGGAUUAGCUAGUUGGUGAGGUAACGGCCCACCAAGGCGACGAUGCAUAGCCGACCUGAGAGGGUGAUCGGCCACACUGGGACUGAGACACGGCCCAGACUCCUACGGGAGGCAGCAGUAGGGAAUCUUCGGCAAUGGACGAAAGUCUGACCGAGCAACGCCGCGUGAGUGAAGAAGGUUUUCGGAUCGUAAAACUCUGUUGUUAGAGAAGAACAAGGACGUUAGUAACUGAACGUCCCCUGACGGUAUCUAACCAGAAAGCCACGGCUAACUACGUG
rnacentral:rRNA from 1 species